UACGAGGGGGGCAAGCGUUGUUCGGAAUUAUUGGGCGUAAAGGGCGCGUAGGCGGUGCGGUAAGUCACCUGUGAAAUCUCUGGGCUCAACUCAGAGUCUGCAGGCGAAACUGCCGUGCUGGAGUAUGGGAGAGGUGCGUGGAAUUCCCGGUGUAGCGGUGAAAUGCGCAGAUAUCGGGAGGAACACCGGUGGCGAAGGCGGUUCUCUGGGCCUUACCUGACGCUGAGGAGCGAAAGCCAGGGGAGCGAACGGG
rnacentral:rRNA from 1 species